AAAAGCCUCUAAGCAUCAGGUAACAUCAAAUCGUACCCCAAACCGACACAGGUGGUCAGGUAGAGAAUACCAAGGCGCUUGAGAGAACUCGGGUGAAGGAACUAGGCAAAAUGGUGCCGUAACUUCGGGAGAAGGCACGCUGAUAUGUAGGUGAAGUCCCUCGCGGAUGGAGCUGAAAUCAGUCGAAGAUACCAGCUGGCUGCAACUGUUUAUUAAAAACACAGCACUGUGCAAACACGAAAGUGGACGUAUACAGUGUGACGCCUGCCCGGUGCCGGAAGGUUAAUUGAUGGGGUUAGCGCAAGCGAAGCUCUUGAUCGAAGCCCCGGUAAACGGCGGCCGUAACUAUAACGGUCCUAAGGUAGCGAAAUUCCUUGUCGGGUAAGUUCCGACCUGCACGAAUGGCGUAAUGAUGGCCAGGCUGUCUCCACCCGAGACUCAGUGAAAUUGAACUCGCUGUGAAGAUGCAGUGUACCCGCGGCAAGACGGAAAGACCCCGUGAACCUUUACUAUAGCUUGACACUGAACAUUGAGCCUUGAUGUGUAGGAUAGGUGGGAGGCUUUGAAGUGUGGACGCCAGUCUGCAUGGAGCCGACCUUGAAAUACCACCCUUUAAUGUUUGAUGUUCUAACGUUGACCCGUAAUCCGGGUUGCGGACAGUGUCUGGUGGGUAGUUUGACUGGGGCGGUCUCCUCCUAAAGAGUAACGGAGGAGCACGAAGGUUGGCUAAUCCUGGUCGGACAUCAGGAGGUUAGUGCAAUGGCAUAAGCCAGCUUGACUGCGAGCGUGACGGCGCGAGCAGGUGCGAAAGCAGGUCAUAGUGAUCCGGUGGUUCUGAAUGGAAGGGCCAUCGCUCAACGGAUAAAAGGUACUCCGGGGAUAACAGGCUGAUACCGCCCAAGAGUUCAUAUCGACGGCGGUGUUUGGCACCUCGAUGUCGGCUCAUCACAUCCUGGGGCUGAAGUAGGUCCCAAGGGUAUGGCUGUUCGCCAUUUAAAGUGGUACGCGAGCUGGGUUUAGAACGUCGUGAGACAGUUCGGUCCCUAUCUGCCGUGGGCGCUGGAGAACUGAGGGGGGCUGCUCCUAGUACGAGAGGACCGGAGUGGACGCAUCACUGGUGUUCGGGUUGUCAUGCCAAUGGCACUGCCCGGUAGCUAAAUGCGGAAGAGAUAAGUGCUGAAAGCAUCUAAGCACGAAACUUGCCCCGAGAUGAGUUCUCCCUGACUCCUUGAGAGUCCUGAAGGAACGUUGAAGACGACGACGUUGAUAGGCCGGGUGUGUAAGCGCAGCGAUGCGUUGAGCUAACCGGUACUAAUGAACCGUGAGG
rnacentral:rRNA from 1 species